GCCCUCGUAGCUCAGGGGAUAGAGCACCGGCCUCCGGAGCCGGGUGCGCAGGUUCGAAUCCUGCCGGGGGCACCA
rnacentral:tRNA from 4 species